UACGUAGGUGGCAAGCGUUGUCCGGAUUUAUUGGGUUUAAAGGGUGCGUAGGCGGUCUAUUAAGUCAGUGCUGAAAUAUCCCGGCUUAACCGGGAGGGUGGCAUUGAUACUGAUGGACUUGAGUGCAGUCGGGGUAGGCGGAAUUGACGGUGUAGCGGUGAAAUGCUUAGAUAUCGUCAAGAACACCGAUAGUGAAGACAGCUUACUAGGCUGUAACUGACGCUGAGGCACGAAAGUGUGGGGAGCAAACAGG
rnacentral:rRNA from 1 species